GGGGGUGUACCGGUUUCGACUGUCGCGAUUCGGGAUACAGGCCGCAGGUGGAGUGCCUAGCUCCUGAUUAGGCAAAACUUUUAACUGCCAACUACGACAGUUACGAUUACGCCUUAGCCGCGUAACCGCGUGGGACCCUUCCGCCGCCUUGAGGAAGGACUUCCGCGUCGCAAUCAAGGCUGGCCGUGUUUCCGGCGCCGGACGGGACACGGUGAGACACAGACGGAUACGGACAGGCCGCGCGCCGUUUAGCCAAGCCUGUCCCGACAAUACGAUAAACGGCUAAACCUGUAGACGCUUGUGUUUCGCGCGUCAGGACGCGGGUCCGACUCCCGCCACCUCCAACA
rnacentral:tmRNA from 1 species